rnacentral:rRNA from 1 species
AUUGAACGCUGGCGGCAGGCCUAACACAUGCAAGUCGAACGGUAACAGGAAGAAGCUUGCUUCUUUGCUGACGAGUGGCGGACGGGUGAGUAAUGUCUGGGAAACUGCCUGAUGGAGGGGGAUAACUACUGGAAACGGUAGCUAAUACCGCAUAACGUCGCAAGACCAAAGAGGGGGACCUUCGGGCCUCUUGCCAUCGGAUGUGCCCAGAUGGGAUUAGCUAGUAGGUGGGGUAACGGCUCACCUAGGCGACGAUCCCUAGCUGGUCUGAGAGGAUGACCAGCCAAACUGGAAAUGAGACACGGUCCAGACUCCUUAGGGAGGCAGCAGUGGGGAAUAUUGGACAAUGGGCGCAAGCCUGAUGCAGCCAUGGCGCGUGUAUGAAGAAGGCCUUCGGGUUGUAAAGUACUUUCAGCGGGGAGGAAGGGAGUAAAGUUAAUACCUUUGCUCAUUGACGUUACCCGCAGAAGAAGCACCGGCUAACUCCGUG